UGGGGAAUCUUGGACAAUGGGCGCAAGCCUGAUCCAGCCAUGCCGCGUGAGUGAAGAAGGCCUUCGGGUUGUAAAGCUCUUUUACCAGGGACGAUAAUGACGGUACCUGGAGAAUAAGCCCCGGCAAACUUCGUGCCAGCAGCCGCGGUAAUACGAAGGGGGCUAGCGUUGUUCGGAAUUACUGGGCGUAAAGCGCACGUAGGCGGAUUGUUAAGUCAGAGGUGAAAUCCCGGAGCUCAACUUCGGAACUGCCUUUGAUACUGGCAAUCUAGAGUCCGGAAGAGGUUAGUGGAAUUCCCAGUGUAGAGGUGAAAUUCGUAGAUAUUGGGAAGAACACCAGUGGCGAAGGCGGCUAACUGGUCCGGUACUGACGCUGAGGUGCGAAAGCGUGGGGAGCAAACAGGAUUAGAUACCCCUGUAGUCCCUGAGCGGGCUGGCAAGGCGCAU
rnacentral:rRNA from 1 species